rnacentral:rRNA from 1 species
UACGUAGGGUGCAAGCGUUGUCCGGAAUUAUUGGGCGUAAAGAGCUCGUAGGCGGUUCAGUAAGUCGGGUGUGAAAACUUUGGGCUUAACCCAAAGCGUGCAUCCGAUACUGCUGUGACUUGAGUUCGGUAGGGGAGUGGGGAAUUCCUAGUGUAGCGGUGAAAUGCGCAGAUAUUAGGAGGAACACCGGUGGCGAAGGCGCCACUCUGGGCCGAAACUGACGCUGAGGAGCGAAGGCAUGGGUAGCAAACAGG